rnacentral:misc_RNA from 1 species
AAGUCGUAACAAGGUUUCCGUAGGUGAACCUGCGGAAGGAUCAUCAUCGAAUUCAUACCCUCCCCCCUCACCGGGGGGUGGGCUCAUGAUAAACCCUUCUGUGCACUGUAAACCGUUCACUUUGGCAGGCUUUGGUCGCGAGUGUUCCGCUCGCCCCAACCUCGCGUGCCCCUCCCAAGGGGGACGCGAGGCGGCCUGCCGGAGUCCUCUUCUGAAAAACUCGUUCGAGAACACGUCUGAAAAUUUCCUUUGAGAAAUCAAAGAACCGAAAACAACUUUCAACAACGGAUCUCUUGGCUCUC